GCAAAUCAACCUGAAACAGUUUAUGUGUAUGUGAAUAUUCGUAACUGAUAGAUAUGCCUCCCCGGCAUAUUAAGGUAAGA
rnacentral:sRNA from 1 species